rnacentral:rRNA from 1 species
AACGAACGCUGGCGGCAUGCCUAACACAUGCAAGUCGAACGAGACCUUCGGGUCUAGUGGCGCACGGGUGCGUAACGCGUGGGAACCUGCCUUGAGGUUCGGAAUAACUCAGAGAAAUUUGAGCUAAUACCGGAUAAUGUCUUCGGACCAAAGAUUUAUCGCCUUUAGAUGGGCCCGCGUUGGAUUAGCUAGUUGGUGGGGUAAAGGCCUACCAAGGCGACGAUCCAUAGCUGGUUUGAGAGGAUGAUCAGCCACACUGGGACUGAGACACGGCCCAGACUCCUACGGGAGGCAGCAGUGGGGAAUAUUGGACAAUGGGCGAAAGCCUGAUCCAGCAAUGCCGCGUGAGUGAUGAAGGCCUUAGGGUUGUAAAGCUCUUUUACCAGGGAUGAUAAUGACAGU